rnacentral:tRNA from 2 species
GGGGGUAUAGCUCAGUUGGUAGAGCAGCUGACUCUUAAUCAGUAGGUCCUGGGUUCGAAUCCCUGUGCCCCCACCA